UGAAGUCGUUGCCGAGGGAAAUUACCCAU
rnacentral:sRNA from 1 species